AGUAGACACCGGCGCAGGACGCCGCAGCCCCUCCCGGGCGGCCUCUCCCGGGCCAUGGCGCUACACUCGGGGUCCCGCGGGCCGCGCCUGGCCGGCAGCAGGGAUGUAGCCCCACAGGCCGGAGCGGCCAACUGUGGGAACUCCCCCGCGGGCCGGGGUGCGGGCUCGGACCCGCCUCCCUCCCUCCCGACCGAGGAAGCCCCGGCGUAACCUUAUCCUGCCCUGCCGAGCGCGCCCCGCCGCUGGAACGGUGGUGGGCCGAACGCGGUCACAGGGGGCCCUCUCCGCCCCUCCGGAGGUGCCAGGGCCCGGCUGUACAGGGUCCCUCAAGAGGUGCCCUCCGCCCCGGCCUCCAAAGCCUGACGGAGCUGAAAGACAUAGGGCCAGAAAAAGCGCAUUCCUAACGGGAUCCCGGGCCAUAACUUCAUUUUCUGGUAUUAGUGUUGUUGGAGAAACACAGGAGGAGGGUAGGUGAGCAUACAAGGAACAGUCAAGCAGUUUGCACCAUUAAGCACAAUAUAAAAAUAAAUAGCACUUAUGCCCGGGCUUACAACUUCUCUCUCUCUCUCAAGAAAGAAAGGGAUUGGGGGGCGAAGAGAAUAGCACUCAAUGCAGAAUAAUCAAAUUAGAGUUAUUCUAUGUCUAAAUUCUGCCUGAAGCCAAUUCGUGCUUUCUUUCCGUGUUAUGAAAUGUGUGGGGGUGAAGAAGAAGAGGGAAAAAGCCAGCUAAGACAUCUGACAGCGGGUUGGUGAGGAGGGGGGAGAGAGAACAGAAGUUACCAUGGCAUGAUGUAAAUCAAAUUAAUUUAGCUCCAAACACACACCUCCCUGCUGUCUCGCAGAAAUACAGAGGGACAAAUUUAUCUUUCGGCAAAAUGCUCCCCAGCUGGUAUUUCCAUCACCACCUUGACCUUAAUUAAUCAGACUGAACUCUCACAGCCUGAAGUCCAGUGGUGGAUGUUCCAUUUUCAAUUGUUAGUAGAAUCCUUUCCCACAACCCAUUUGGGGUGGGUUUGGGUUUUAGGUUUGAGUUUGGGUUUAGAUUUUUUUAAGCUGUAGUCACUUUUCUUUUUUUCCUUGCUUUACUCUUGCAUUUUCCAUGCUUCCAUGGGAGACUGCGCCUGUAGACCUAUCCUCUUCCCCCGUAACAGCCUACAGCAUGGACAAGAGAGAACAAAUAUGGGGCCCUACCCCCCUGCCCUUUUGAAUGUUGGGUAUUUUCCGUAGGAAGCCCUCGUCUCUAAAAUCCUCUUCUCUUCCUGGCUUAAGAAAGACCCAAUUUAUUCCCUGCUAGUGAACAAAGCACUUGGGCUGUUUCUCUACAUGUAACAAAAUAUCUCCACCCAGUCUAGUCCACCCCCUGGCCACACCAGAUCCUCAGGCUCCUGAACGUUCCAUUAGGAUUGACUUUUGCUUUUUUCUUAGAUGAGUCCAGGGGAUAUUGCAGAUGGGUUCUAUUUUAACAAAUUUAAACAAGUACGAGUUUUUCCUUACACAAACUGAGAGCCAGCCUCACAUCCUGUGACUAUUUACUUGAACUGUGUUUGAACCAGGACCCUGCCGUUCAAGCACUAUGAGACUUUCAACGAAGUACUGGACCUCUCUGAGUUUCCGUUUUCCCAUGAAUAAACAGAUCUAUAUAUAUGGCAGGAUUAUAAAUGUUGCAUAAAAUAUUAUAUGUUUCAUGCCCAAAUAAUACUGGCUCACAGAAGGGUCUCAAUAGUAAUUAUUUUGUUAUUUACCAUGGAAGAAAAUCCUGGAUGUUGUCAUGAAAAACAAAAGAGUUGAACUUGUCUCAGUCCUUUCUGGAUGUGUCUCAAAAAUGCAGAUAAUCAUUAACCGCUGUGUCAUAGGCUGGUUAAUUAAACAAGCAGGUCAGUAAACCACAAUAGCGGCUUUCAUCAGAUCACAGAUUACAUCCUCCUAGAGGUUUUAGCCAGAAAAAUGUGUGAAACAGAACAUUUCUAAUCUCCUAAACAACAUGCAUUUCAACUUGGACACCUGCUGUAGUGCUGUGAUUCUCAACCAGGGUUGGUUUUGCCUCCCAGGGGACAUUUGGCAAUGUCUGAAGAUGUUUUUGGUUGUUACCACUGGAGGAUGCUACUGGCGUCUAAUGGCUACCUAUUAGACUAGGGAUGCAGCUAAGCCUCCUCCAGUGCAAAAGAUAGCCUUCCACAACAAAGACUUGUCCAGCCCAGAAUGUCAGGAGAGCCUAAGUUGAGAAAACCUGCUGUAACUAUAGAUGCCAAUGUGGUCAUUUUAAAUUAUAGACUGUCCAAAGAGAAAACAGAGCCGAUAGUAUCCUCACCUUCAUCAAGUGGUUAUUUAUAUCUCACAAUGUGACAUACCCAGUGUGUUAGUCCUUUUUUGUGUCACUAUAAAGAAAUACCUGAGGCUAAGUAAUGUAUAACAAAAAGAGGUUUAAUUGGCUCUUGGUUCUGCAUGCUGUACAUGAAGCAUAGUGCCAGCAUCUGCUUUUGGUGAGGCCUCAGGAAGUUUACAGUCAUGGCAGAAGGCAAAGGGUGAGCCAGUGCAUCACAUGGUGAGAAUGGGAGCAAGAGAGAAAGGAAGGAGCUGCCAGCCUCUUUUAAACAAUCAGAUCGCCCAUGAACUAAUAGAGCAAGAACUCGCUUAUCACAAAGGGGGGAUAGUGCUAAGCCAUUCGUGAGGGAUCCACCCCCAUGAUCCAAUAUCUCCCGCUAGGCCCCACCUCCAACACUGGAAGUCACAUUUCAACAUGAGAUUUGGAGGAGACAAACAUCCAAACCAUAUCACCCAGUCUGAAUUAAAGUGAUCAAAUUUACAAAAGAAUGAAGUUAGAAUGUCUGACAUCAACAUCCGCCAUCCUCUCAUCACCUUUUCUCAGUGUACAUGCUCACUGUGGAAAAUAUACACAAGCAAAAGAAGAUACCAACAUUCAUAACACGAUUCAGA
rnacentral:lncRNA from 1 species